AUCCAGUUGAUGAACCCCGGAUAGGACGAAACACGCGUCCUGGAU
rnacentral:hammerhead_ribozyme from 1 species